CGUCAAUAGUGUCAUUUCCUUGAAUGAGGUUGUUGAAUUUGUAUCUCGCAAAUAUGGGGUUUAAAGCAGGCUGAACGUGUGCCUUAAACCUCUCGUAAAGGAAGUCCAACUUUUUUCUGUUCUCUGCUGAUAUGUCUGUCCAGGUAGCAUAGAUGUCUCUUCCUUUAUCACCAAUCCAUAUAAGCAAAUACGACACUUUCUCUUGUUCCGAUUUUUCCUUCAACGGACCAGAAAACAUUAACUCCACAUGUCUUUGAAAUUUUUCCCAUUGUUCUGGGAGAUUACUGGAAUCCCAGUUAAUUACAGGUGAACUUAAUCCUGUUAAUUCCAUCGUUUAAGUUUCCAAAUUUUCUGACACCAUGUAAUGUUUUUGUAUUAUUUUCAUUCCGGGAUUUCACUAACGUGAGGUAAUAAACAAGAAAGACACAGUUGUGAGCUAUUCAAGUUUUAUCUAAGAACUGCCUUUAUGGCGGGAAUUAUAUGUAUAUAUUGCAGAGCUGGUCAGUGAUGCAUUCAUGGAAAUAUUCUGAUAACUUAAGGUCAAGGUUCACAGCCCUAUAAACAUGAAGUCAUUGGGCCAACAACGGAAAACCGUCAAAGGAUAAUCGUUGUUGGGCCAAUGUUGGCCCAACAAUGAUUAAUAAGUAUUGUAAAUACAGCCGUUGGGCCAACGUUGAACCAACUUUGAAUUUCAGUCACAGAUAUCUCUGCAUUGGCCCAAUAUUGAUUUUCAGACAAAGACUUAUACAGAGAAAACAUCGUUGGCCCAACGUUGGCCCAACGUUGACCUAUUAGAAGUCCAUGUUAUGAUAUAAUGAUUAUAUAUUUUACAGGUGACUGUUUUAUCAUAAGCCCCUACAGGUAUACACGCUGUGUAUGUGUAACAUGCAAUAUUUGUUUAAUAAUUAAAUACUUUUCUGCACCAAUUCAUAAUCAGUUAAAUUUGGGCUUAUUAAACUUAACUGCAGCCAUAAUGACAUUUUCAAAUCUACUACCUUGAAAAAAAAUGUGAAAAAAAAAAUGAAAAAGAACCCACUACUAACUCUAUAACAAAUAUCUAAUUUUCUACAGUCAUAAAAUGUUUACAAUAAAUCUGUUGAGUAUUCCAGAACAUGAACUCUCGUUAACCCGGGUUAUGCAAGAAAUCCCAGAAAAUGUGGUUAAUUUUACUCUCUAGGCCAGAUUUCUAGCUGCAUAUAUGUGAAGUAAAGGAAACUAUUAUACAUGUGAUAGAUCUAAAGUUAACAAAAACCCGGUCUACCAGCUAUACACUGUUGCUGUUCAAGAGAGUAAUAAUGGAGUGCAUAGCACUGUGGUGCACAAGAAAAAACAAGAAGAAAAAAGAAAGCAGCAACUUCAGUGAGAAAAAGAAAACAAUCAAACAAAACUUGGAUAUAUAAUGAGUUAAUAUACAGACAGUAAUUCACUUUAGUAGGAUUUAAUCAGUGACUAAAAAAAGAAAAAUAUUUAGAUUUGUAAAAGGCUGGAAUCAAUAUUUGAUAUGUUGUAGUGAUGAAAUUUUCUGUUAUAAUUCUUCAGUGAAAUUGCAAACAAAUUUUAACAAAAUCUCAACUAUAAAAUAAAAUAUGUUCCAAAUAA